AAUUGCAAGAAUAAUGAUUUGGUAUUUCGAAAAUUGUCAUUUUAGUCUAAACAAGUUUGGACUACUCUACCUUUCAAAAGGUUUCAUUUCGUUGCAAAUUGGUACAAUUUAUUUUGAAUUUUUUUUUUAAAUACUGAUUUUGCCCUUUGUAUUUUAUUAUUUUUUACUUUUUUUUAUUACAGAAAUAAAAAAAUAGAACCAUAAAAUACAUCUCUCUCUCUCUCUCUCUCUCUCUCUCUCUCUCUCUCUCUCUCUCUCUCUCUCUCUCUCUCUCUCUACAAUACACACCUUACUUCAAUUGGGUUGUAGAUUUACGGAUCCAAAUGGGAUACUUUUAGUUACAUCUGAUAAAUUACAAAGACUUGGAUAGAGUUACAGAACCACUUGAAGAAACACUUGUUAAUUUAGUAGAGAGGCACAAGCAAAGUGGUAUUCUAGGUGAAGAAACAUCGAAGACUGCUCUUUUCGUUUCUGUCUAGUCAGAUCUACAAGGUCACCGGAUACCACCCCCAGAUAUACCGUCAAACCAUUCGUCUUCUCUAGCAAACUCCUACAGCGAAAACCUAACCCUAAGUGUUUCAUGUGGCAACGCAUAGAUCGAAGCUAGGGUUUGUAGCAAUGACGAAAGCUUCAACAAUCUUCUUCUUCGACGACAACUUCGUUCUUCGGUUAGGGUUUUCCUCUUCUAGAUCUGGGGAACAUCAAGGGUGACAACGAGAAAAUAGAUGUUCAAACCUCGACGAUGGUUGAGGGUGGCAAUCCUUCUUCUUCGAUGUCAAUGUAAGAUCUGAGAAAAAGGGGGCGACGUCAAAGAUCUGAGAAAGGUGCAACGUAGAUAUGCUUCUUUUUCGUUCAAUCUUCUUUUCAUUGUUAGAUCUACUUCAAUUUUGUUCAUCGAGAGUUUAUGGUUUGGUUAGGGUGUGUGUUUUCAUCAAAUUUUCUAUGUGUAUGUGUUCAUCUAAUUUCGUGUUUGUGUGUGUGUGCUCAUCUGAUUUCAUGUAUGUGUGUGUGUGUGUGUUCAUCAGAUUUCAUGUGUGUAUCACUACUACAAAAUGGUUAAUAGAAAACUCUCCUUAAAAUAUGUUUUUAAGAAUUCGGUAUUUUAUUCUAGAAGGCGCUAUUUAUUUUCUAAAAAAAAAUACGUUCAUCUUUAAUGGAUCGUACUUUAUUAGGUUAUCAAAAAAGAUGCAUUACGGUUUUUCAUCUAAUUAAUUUAUUUUGCCGCCUAAAUAUAUUUGCCAAAUAUCUUUUAAUUUGUAUCUCGUCCUUACCCUAAUUCUACCACCGUUCGUUUCUUUCCUAUAAUCCUACGAUUGCCGCAUCAUCACCACAACUAGGAACUGUUGCCGCCACCACCAUAGCCACCAAUUGAUGUUGCUCCACAAUAGCCACCGGCGACUGUUGCCACCACCAUGACUGUCAUGCCUUCUCUGCACACACCAUUUGUUCGUUCAAGAGAUUACUUCUUAAUUAUCUUAAUCAUUAAUCAGCGAUUCUAAAUCUUUAAGAUUUUGGUGCCUCCUUUGUUGCUUAGGAUAAUUGGAUUUUAAAAUUGCUAUACAUUUUUUGCCUAAGUUUUUUAUUAUGGUAUUUACGAUCUUCAGUUUUCUUAGGGGUUUUUUUUUUCAUAAUGGUCUUUGACAUGACCAACCUCAUACAUAAGGAUGUUGCAACUUUGGUUUGGUAAAUAUUGAAUAAGUUCUUAGUUUUUGAAAAGUGUUAUACUUUUUCAAACAUGCCACAUGGGAAUGCUUUCUCUUGCAUUUAAAGACUUAAUGAAGCAACUAUGCAGUCAUUGUGGCACCAAGAGCAUUUAAAUCAAGGAUGAUAUUGGAAUAAAUAAAAGCUUAUAUGAAUUAGCUGGAAGUUAUCAGAGACAAGACUUCUUUAAAUCACCCAUGUUGGUGUUCAUGUGUAGAGUGACAUUGAGAACAUGUUUGUUUCAUGAACAUGUUUGGGCCCUAGGAUGUUUAUGUGGACACUUGUUCCAUUGAGAUUUGCUUAUACUUAAGGCAAGGUUUGCUUCUUGAACAUUUUUGCUUACCAAGUUGUUUUUAUUUAUCUAGUUAGUAUUGGGGACUUGUAUUUGACCUUAGGUCUGGUCUGAUUUGGUACUGGGAAAGUCAAAAUUAACUUAACUUGAUGUCCUCAUUUUCUAAUUUCUAUUUUUUUUUUGUAGAUUUGUUUUUCAUAAUUGCUACACACUACCAGAAUAUGUACGUUGUAAUAUUGUAAGCGAUUACAACGUGUUGAGCUCUGGAUUUGUCAAUAUGUAACAUCUUUCAUUUUAUUAUCUUCAAUUGGAAUCCAUAAUGCACAAAAUAUAUUUUUUGAUCGACAUCCCAUGAUAUUAACACUAUUUUAGAAAUUGCAGGUGUGAAUGCUUAUUAUGCUUUGGAUGACCAAAAACUUAAUGAUUACAAUGACUUGAUGAUGGAGUCUCCACAUUUCUCACUAUAAGAUAGGAACAAACUCAAGAACAAACCCAAAUUGUGUGUAUGGUUUUUGUUUUUGGGAUGAUUUUUUGGCGGAGAUGAAGUGACGUUAAAGUUUAAGUGGAGAUGGAGGUGAAAGACAGUGGUGGUGGACUGUCGAGUUGUCGAACAGUGUGACAUGUUUGAACACAAGUUUCAAAUUUAUAUUCUAAUUAUUCAACUCAACUAAACACAAUAGGCAGUGUACUUAGUCGUGUAGUAGUAAAGUAGUAUAAGUAAGGAGUCGAUCACAAAGAACGAUAUUCUAAUGAAAAUAAUGCUAAAAAUUAAACUAAAGAAAUAAACUUUAAA